CCCCAAGAAGACCAAAGUGAAUGUGAUGAUAACUGGGUUUAUUAUCUUCCCUUAAAAUCCUGUUUCCGUUUUUUCUGUGACAAAAGAACAUGGACCAAUGCUGAGGAAUUCUGCAAACACCAACCUCAUUCUGGACAUCUGGCGUCUGUGUCCUCGGGUGAACACAACAUCUUCAUUAAGAAAAUGAUUGAUGCAGCGAGCAAAGAGAGUCCAUUAACUUGGAUUGGACUAAACGACAUAUUGCGGGAAGGGACUUUCACAUGGAUUGAUGGAUCUACUCCUAUUUAUCGACACUGGCUUCAGGGUGAACCUAAUAAUUUGAGAGGCAACGAAGAUUGUGUGGUCGUUA